AUUAUUUAUUUUUCCUCAUCCUCUCCCUCCUCUCACCCUUAUCCCUCUGAAAGGCCCCAAUGUGUGUUGUUUCCCUCUGUGUGUCCAUGUGUUCUCAUCAUUUAGAUCCCACUUAUAAGUUAGAACAUGUGGUAUUUUAACUGCUGUGUCUUAGGCUAUCAUGUGCUGUCCUGGAAGACAGUCUGAAGCAACAGGUUGAAACUGAUGGAGGGCUGAUGUUUGGCAAAGAAGCUGCGUAUGGUGCCUGGUGAUGUUCAGCUGAGUGUGGGUUGUAUUCCUGCUGCUGUGUCUGGCCGCAGUGUGCCU
rnacentral:lncRNA from 10 species